rnacentral:lncRNA from 1 species
UAAAACUUUCCUGACAAUAGCUCUAUGGCCCAUGUUUUCUUUUCCUUCCCUGUGAAGUUCCCCAACUUGCUUCAGAAUGGAGACCUUCAACAGGUCUCGUGACCGUCCACUGGAGCCUGGGUAUAGGAAGAGUGGAGAAGGGGUGUGGAGAACAACCACGGGGGAGGAAGUGUGAACUCCACAUGUAGCUUUGAAGAGUUGGUUCCUCUGGGGACAAAGAUGCCUGUGGCUGCCAUCCACACAGAAGAUUGCAGGGCACCAGUGUUUUCCAGAGUCAAGAAAAGCACCUGCCAUGCUUUGAGGGCUAGAAUGGCUUCCUGUUCUUCAUGCUACUCCUCUGGCUCGGCUUUCGGUUUUUAAUGACUCCCAUCACGAGACCAUUGUCAUCUCAGCUUCCUGUGAUAGCCCAAGAAUGCAUGAAAUUACCAUCUCCAACAAGAGCACAAAGCAAGCAGCCAUGCUUCACGGGCAUUAUCGCUUUAUUAAUCGCCAUUACGCCCUUCCAUCCCAGCGGCCCUUCCAGUUAGACAGGGAUGUGGUUUCAAACAAUCAUGCUGCUCUUGUAUUUUCACCAGGAUCUGUAUUAAAAGCUCUGACAGAUUGCUAAUGAGCUGAUGUUGGAAUUACAGAAUAGUCUGUUAGCCUGUGUCCGUUCACAGUUUCC